rnacentral:rRNA from 1 species
CUGGCGGCAGGCCUAACACAUGCAAGUCGAACGGCAGCACAGCAGUAGCAAUACUGUGGGUGGCGAGUGGCGGACGGGUGAGUAAUGCAUCGGGACCUACCUAGACGUGGGGGAUAACGUAGGGAAACUUACGCUAAUACCGCAUACGUCCUACGGGAGAAAGCAGGGGACCUUCGGGCCUUGCGCGGUUAGACGGACCGAUGUUCGAUUAGCUUGUUGGUGAGGUAAUGGCUCACCAAGGCGACGAUCGAUAGCUGGUCUGAGAGGAUGAUCAGCCACACUGGAACUGAGACACGGUCCAGACUCCUACGGGAGGCAGCAGUGGGGAAUAUUGGACAAUGGGCGCAAGCCUGAUCCAGCAAUGCCGCGUGUGUGAAGAAGGCCUUCGGGUUGUAAAGCACUUUUAUCAGGAGCGAAAUACUACCGGCUAAUACCCGGUGGGGCUGACGGUACCUGAGGAAUAAGCACCGGCUAACUUCGUGCCAGCAGCCGCGGUAAUACGAAGGGUGCAAGCGUUAAUCGGAAUUACUGGGCGUAAAGCGUGCGUAGGCGGUU